GUGUUCUGAUUUGCUUAUUGCACCACAUGUGUUUUUCUUUGAAACAAACUUGCUUUGGCGGUGGGCCCAGCCUGCCGCCAGAGGUCUAAACUUACAACCAAUUUUUUAUCAACUUGUCACACCAGAUUAUUACUAAUAGUCAAAACUUUCAACAACGGAUCUCUUGGUUCUCGCAUCGAUGAAGAACGCAGCGAAAUGCGAUACGUAAUAUGAAUUGCAGAUAUUCGUGAAUCAUCGAAUCUUUGAACGCACAUUGCGCCCUCUGGUAUUCCGGAGGGCAUGCCUGUUUGAGCGUCGUUUCUCCCUCAAACCGCUGGGUUUGGUGUUGAGCAAUACGACUUGGGUUUGCUUGAAAGACGGUAGUGGUAAGGCGGGAUCGCUUUGACAAUGGCUUAGGUCUAACCAAAAACAUUGCUUGCGGCGGUAACGUCUACCACGUAUAUCUUCAAACUUUGACCUCAAAUCAGGUAGGACUACCCGCUGAACUUAAGCAUAUCAAAAACCGGGGGG
rnacentral:rRNA from 1 species